GAGGAUCUAUGUCUUACUAUCAUCACAUCCNAUGUAUGUCUAGAAUGUGAAUCAACUAUCGAUCUUCACGGGUCGAUNNAUGAUAAAUAAAUAUACCACUUUCAGCAACGGAUCUCUUGGCUCUCGCAUCGAUGAAGAACGCAGCGAAUUGCGAUAAGUAAUGUGAAUUGCAGAUUUUCAGUGAAUCAACGAAUCUUUGAACGCACCUUGCGCUCCUUGGUAUUCCGAGGAGCAUGCCUGUUUGAGUGUCAUUGAAUUCUCGACCAUGUCUUGAUUGACUUGGAUUGGAGUUGGCGGUUGCUGGCGGCGAAAGCUGUCAGCUCUUCUGAAAUGCAUUAGUGAUGGACUAGCAAGUCUUUGACGUGCACGGCCUCUGACGUGAUAAUGAUCGUCGUGNCUGGAUCGUCUCCUGGUANUCUAUUUGCUUCCAAAAA
rnacentral:rRNA from 1 species